CUGAGGACAGCGUUAUAUCGGGGUAGAGGUGUAUUUUUUUAAAAAAGGUUUCCCGUUUGCUGAUUUAAAUCAUGAUUAAAAUCUGAUUUAAAUCGCUUUGAUAUAAAUCAAUCCACCCUGAUUGCAUUCCUCUGUAAACUCUGGUCCAGGCCUCUCCUUUGGUCUUCCUCUUUCACUUCACUUUUUCCUUCUUCUGUUCAUUUUAAGGGACAGAUUUUGAAAUAGGUGAGUGAAGUGAGCAUGUGGAAAUGUGUCCCCAUGCAGAGCCCUACAUCUCUGCAUGUAAAUAUUUUGUUGUUUGUAGCACAAUCCACAAAUUACCCUUAAGGAAAACUAGGUUAUGAACUAAAGCCCCUUUACUUCAGUAUUGGAGCAUUCACACCGGGGAUUAAUGCAGUCUAACUUAUGCACAUUAAUGUUGCAGCGUUAGUUGAUUUCCCCUUAAUUUUCCUGAGUGUUCCCAUGCAGAUGAGUUGUGUUACUACCUGAGUGCUGCCCUCACCCACUGGAGACUGACUCUAUCUGUAGUCCCCCACCCACCAGGCUCCUCCUUUAGAGCAGCCCCAAAAGCAAUAACCGUUUUCUCUUUCAGGUUAUCAACAUCAACUCCAGUUCAGGAAACACAACCACCCAUGGAAUGAAUUUCCAAUCUUGCCGAUCACCAUCGUGACUCCAGCAGUGGUAGCCUCUAAGCCCCCUUCGGCUGCUCCGUGCACCACUGCUGAUACUGCACCCUCUGCAAGGGCCUGGGGCCCAGUCAGCUGGGUCGGGGUCCAAGAUAAAUGUUACCGGUUCCCAGCCGUCCAAGCAAACUGGAGCUGCUGCCGGAGCCACUGCUCUUCCCUCGGUGCCUCCCUGGCUGGGAUCAACAGUAAGCAGGACACGGUGAGAGAAACGCACAGAUGCUUCUGUCAUCACAACAGCCUGGGCCUGGCAAUGAGUGGUGGGGCUGGAAUCAGGCUGGGAGGUCAGAGUGAGUGAGACCCACCCUCCUUAGAGCCCUAGAUGGGUGAAUCCCCCUCUGUAGGGCCUGGCCAACCGAGUCUGCUCUUAUCCUUGUAUGACCGUGAGAAGUGGGGAUCCCACUGAGGGUGAGGCCUCCUUUCACACUGAGCCGUCCCUUUGAGGCCCCCUGCCCUGCUGUGGUGGGAGAGAGCACAGACUCCCUGGGCACAGAGCCCUGUGGGGCAGGGACCAGUGAGCAGGGCUGGAUACCUGCUCUCCUCUGCUUUCCUCAUUUCCCCAAGGUUUUCACACUGCACUACAAGGGUUUCCCUGAUCACUGGAUCAGUCUCCGGAGGACCCAGGCCAGGCCUGGAAAUGGGCCAGUGGCACUGAAUUCAAGCCCAGGUGAGUUCCUCCUUCCCGGUUCCUGAUGGGGAAGGAAGAGGGAUUGAAUCCAGGGCUUCUGUGCUGCUGCCAGGCAGGAGCGAGCGGUGGGAUCCCUCGCCUGGGACUGGGGAGAAGGUGGAGGCAUGAAACGGGCCACCGCAAGCCCAGGGAGCACAAGAGUCCUGGGAUCAAAGUUCCCGUUCAGUCCAUGGUUUGUGGUGUGCAGCAGAGUUAUGAAUGUAAGUGCCCAGGCUUGGCUUUGGAAGCUGUCGGGCAGGUUUCCUUUGAGGACGAGGAUGGAAAGAUCAGACAUGGAGUGAUCAUUGUGUGACAAGUGCUUGCCCACGGGUGACUGUGUUUGUCUGUAGAGUAUGGUCCAAUAAAAGCUGUUACCUCACCA